CUCCUACGGGUGGCAGCAGUCGAGAAUUUUUCUCAAUGGGGGAAACCCUGAAGGAGCGACGCCGCGUGGGGGAUGAAUGGCUUCGGCCCGUAAACCCCUGUCAUUUGCGAUCAAACCUUACGACCUAACACGUUGUAAGCUGAUAGUAGCGAAAGAGGAAGGGACGGCUAACUCUGUGCCAGCAGCCGCGGUAAUACAGAGGUCCCAAGCGUUGUUCGGAUUCACUGGGGGUAAAGGGUGCGUAGGCGGUCGGGUAAGUCUGACGUGAAAUCUUCAAGCUCAACUUGGAAACUGCGUCGGAUACUAUUCGGCUAGAGGAAUGGAGGGGAGACUGGAAUACUUGGUGUAGCAGUGAAAUGCGUAGAUAUCAAGUGGAACACCAGUGGCGAAGGCGAGUCUCUGGACAUUUCCUGACGCUGAGGCACGAAAGCCAGGGGAGCAAACGGGAUUAGAUACCCCGGUAGUCCUGGCCCUAAACGGUGCACGUUUGCUGUAAGAGGAAUCGACCCCUU
rnacentral:rRNA from 1 species